AAUUUUUUGAUGUUAUGAAAGUGACUAACAGUGAUCUCUACAUGCUAGGCACUUUCUAUUUUAUUGGCUUAUAAUCUGUGUCAUUUAGAGUCAUACUGAAUGUAAAUCGAGACUUCUCGUUGAAACCACCUAUUGGAGACACUGGCAAGGAUACACGAGCAGGGCCAUAAAGAUUAUUAUGCGGCAUGGCACAGGACUAGCAGCAGCGUCGGCAGGGAGGUGACUGAGUCUGGUGCCGGCCAUAUCCAUCAUUGUUGGUGGUGUUGUAAUUUUUUAUUUGUUUUUGUGCAUUCUACAAAUGUAUCACAUUGCGUGUGUGAUCAGACAGCCGUUGUAAUUCUAAAUCCGUUCAAACAUUUGCCGGAUGUGCAUAAAUGUUUUACUCCUGUAGUCUAAGAGU
rnacentral:sRNA from 1 species